UGUGUGCGUGUGUGUGUGUGCGUGUGUGUGUUUGUGUGCGUGUGUGUGUUUGUGUGCGUGUGUGUGUUUGUGUGCGUGUGUGUGUGUGCGUGUGUGUGUGUGCGUUUGUGUGUGUGUGUAUUGGAUACGGCUUAGGACGGCGGGCCCCACCCACCCACCCAGUAUGCACGCACAUACAUACACGCAACCUAAGGUUGAUAAACACACACUUCCCCCUCUCCCCUUCCGUGCGCACAUAUCGCAGGCUGGUCGAUAAGUUCUAAGUUUGAUAAGUACCUGCUGCUCGGAUCUGCCGUAUUCAAGGUACGGCAAACAUUAUUAUGCACGGAUUUUCCGCGGAUGUGGGUACACACACCCCAUGUGGUUGCCAUCCUUGCUGCCGUACUCUGCCCCGUGGGGCGGCCUGCGUAUCAGUUGCACAGCAGCACAGGGCAUUCCUUACGACAGAUCGACAACCCGGGCUGAAAUUGCACAUACACACAUCUUUCCACCUUGAAACAUGCACGCACACACAGACACACACACACACACACAGACACACACACAGACACACACACAGACACACACACAGACACGCAUACACGCACACACGCACCCGAGCAGCUGCCUCAGGUGGCUGCAGAUUUCCAAGGUGCGCUCUAAACCCCCUCAGACCUCAGACAGGGGGACCCCUGGGGGGACAGAGCGCAGAGGGCAGGGGGGUUGAGGGCAAGGCGGUGGAGACUUCCCCGUCCCCACCGAUUACCUCUUCCUCCUCCAUCUCCUCCUCCUCCUUUUCCUCCUCCAUCUCCUCUU
rnacentral:lncRNA from 1 species